UCCUCAAAUUUAGAUCCAAAAUUGAAAAUUCCUGGCAAAGGUGCCUGAAAGGUCUGACUGGCUUUUGCUUUUUCCCCUGUAGCUUUUCAGCAGCAGCACCAGCACUAACGGCUCCAUGCUUGCCUGGCCAACCAAGUGUACAGUCACACUUGGACUUCAACAGAGAUAGAGCUCCAAAACUGAAAAUGCCUAGAUUGCUCCAACACAAAAGCUUCUCUCUAUUCAGAGGGCAUGUGAAUACCACAGCAGGCUAUUAAAAGAACAGGAUUGCACAUUUAAGUGAGAAGGAAAGCACAUGACCCCACUGUUUCUGGUGUGGUGUACAGCCUGCAUGAGGAAAAAAAACCAAAAACAUGCAGCAGCUUUUUGGCCUGGCAGCUUUCUGUGAGAGCAGUCGCUGGACAUUUUCAAUUUUGGAGCUGGAAUCUGACAGGAGUAAAUAAUGCUGUGUACAUUGAGGUGGGAAGGAGCGCGCAUACCCCAGAGCUGGUGGGGCGGUUCAUAGGCUGCAGUGGAUAGAGUGAAGGUCAGCUCUGCGUUCUGCCCGGCUGUUUUCUGCGGGAGCAGCGCGUGAUGCGCUCGGUGCUGGAGCUGCCCUUGGCUCCGUCAGGGAGCAUCGCGGUACACGGAGCGGGUUCCGCGGGUGCCUCGCCCCAUCUAGUGGUUACAUCGAGCGGACGUAAAAGCCAAAACAGCUUUCGGUCCUGCCACGUUUCCUGAGGCUGGGCUGCAACUCCUCAACAGCAGAACACCAGGACACCAAGAACGCCUGCCAAAGCCAGGAUUUCCAUACCCACUCUAGGACAGCACAGGUAGUUGUACGAGACCUUAGAGUGUCUUCCAGUACCUGAAGACUUUCAAGAAGGCUGGAGAGAGACUUUUCAUGAGGGCAAAUUGUGAUGGCACAAGGGGAAAUGGUCUUAAGCUGAGGGAAGCUUCUGAAAAGUUAUGUACCUGCUUUUAGUUGUUCUACUAUUGGCCACGGAGAGAGAAAAGAAUCUCUGGAGAACAUCCUUUCUGCCCCAAAGCUUCCUUCAGAGAGCUCUUCUUCAGGAUCAUCCUUCUUCUCCUCCUGGUGUGCACAGCAGUCUGGAUUCAUGCUUGGAGAUGAGAGAUGGGCAUCAGGAUGCUGUGUCUGCCUUCCUGUGCCCUUCUUUGGCAUGAGAUCUGGAUCCCUGUACCAGGCUGCUCCAUGGCAGCACCUCCAUCAGUAGCACCUGGAAAGCUGUCACAUGAGUCAUCAUCAGUCACCACUGAUACCAGUAGCUUCCUGCUCGCACCCUGUGGUUAU